rnacentral:tRNA from 1 species
GGCUUUGUAGUGGAAGAAAGACGCCAGGCUGCAAUCUUGGAGAUGUGAUAUUUAUUACCUUAGCCU